AUCAUCACUUGCAAAGUGUCUGGGGUCUUUGGCUGGAGUCUGCUACUCAUGUCUGAAUAUGGCUAAAGGAGUGACUUGGCUUUUCUAGGCUCCAGUUCUUUAAAUACUAAAUAAGAGCAACAUAGUGGACAACUAGAUAUCCAACCACGUAACUUGGUGACUUGGAAGUUCUUGUGUCUAUGCUUCAUGGAUGGGAAUAGGGACAAGGGAUCUUCAUGAAAGAGGGGACUCCUGCACGUCUCAGUGUUCAAAGCUAGCAUCAUGGCAGAGGAACAUCGGCUUCUUCAUGGUGCUUCCAGCAGAGACUUUCUUUCUCUAAGACAGAUGGAUUUGCCUUGGAUCUUCAAGAACCAAAGGAUGAGCAUCCACAGGUUUUCAAGUGCUAGCACACAGAGAAACAGGCUCUGUAGUAUUCGGUGCUAGCCUUUCUGUCCCUAAAGCUGUAUGGUUUUUUCCAUCUGCAACAUUGGUCUUUCAGCAUGUUGAAGAGCUCUCUGGAUGCCCAGGACUUCAAACAUACAAAUGCAUGAUUGACUGUUCCAACCCUUUACUCAUCAAGGGAUGUUCCAUCAACCUUCUAAGCAUUCUAUAUUAAUGACAUUUUAUUCUCAACAUUUUAUUCUCAUUUUAUUUGUUUGAUACAACAGACAACUGACUCCUCACUUCCAUGUUACAGAUAUAGAAGGUGAGAGGAUAAACACAAGCAGGGGAAAGGUGUUGCAACAG
rnacentral:lncRNA from 1 species